AGGUAAUAAACUGCAAAAUGUGCAAGGUACUAUAAAUAAUGCAUAUAAAAGACUAAAAGGAAUUAUAAAGAAAGUCGAAUCUUUUCUUCUUUUUUUUUUUUUGAGACUGAGUCUCGCUCUAUCGCCCAGGCUGGAGUGCAGUGGCGCCAUCUCGGCUCACUGCAAGCUCUGCCUCCCGGGUUCACGACAUUCUCCUGCCUCAGCCUCCCGAGUAGCUGGGACUACAGGCCAACAGAACGAGACCACAUCUAGAAAAAAGAAGAUUUAAUCAAUCGUUAAAGUCAUUCACUUUCUCAGCACCAGUAUUUAGGAUUCUGCCCGUGUGUGUUACCUCAGGGUUUUUACCUCUCAAGGCAAUCCCAGGUUUUACAUUGAGGUGCCAUAGAAAGAUUUGGGGUGAGUGGAAGGUGUUUUUUGUUUUGUUUU
rnacentral:lncRNA from 1 species